rnacentral:rRNA from 1 species
AACUUGCCGGCGACCGGCGCACGGGUGAGUAACGCGUAUCCAACCUUCCCCUUAGUAGGGCAUAGCCCGUAGAAAUGCGGAUUAAUACCCUAUGUUAUUCGUCGAGGACAUCUGAAGUGAAUCAAAGGUUUACCGCUAAGGGAUGGGGAGUGCGUCUGAUUAGGCAGCAGGCGGGGUAACGGCCCACCUGGCCGACGAUCAGUAGGGGUUCUGAGAGGAAGGUCCCCCACAUUGGAACUGAGACACGGUCCAAACUCCUACGGGAGGCAGCAGUGAGGAAUAUUGGUCAAUGGUCGAGAGACUGAACCAGCCAAGUAGCCGUGCAGGAUGACGGCCCUAUGGGUUGUAAACUGUCUUUUAUGCGGGGAUAAAGUGAGGGACGUGUCCCUUUUUGUAGGUACCGCAUGAAUAAGGACCGGCUAAUUCCGUGCCAGCCGCCGC